rnacentral:ncRNA from 12 species
AAAGAACGCCGCCGGAUAACGCAAGGGUGUGUCACCAGCGUCUUAGACGCGGCAGUUGCGCCGGGAGUUCUUUCUAUA